rnacentral:lncRNA from 1 species
CACAUAGUUCCUCCACAAUUCCUAUACCUACUGCUGCAGACAGUGAGUCAACCACAAAUGUAAAUUCAUUAGCUACCUCUGACAUAAUCACCGCUUCAUCUCCAAAUGAUGGAUUAAUCACAAUGGUUCCUUCUGAAACACAAAGUAACAAUGAAAUGUCCCCCACCACAGAAGACAAUCAAUCAUCAGGGCCUCCCACUGGCACCGCUUUAUUGGAGACCAGCACCCUAAACAGCACAGGUCCCAGCAAUCCUUGCCAAGAUGAUCCCUGUGCAGAUAAUUCGUUAUGUGUUAAGCUGCAUAAUACAAGUUUUUGCCUGUGUUUAGAAGGGUAUUACUACAACUCUUCUACAUGUAAGAAAGGAAAGGUAUUCCCUGGGAAGAUUUCAGUGACAGUAUCAGAAACAUUUGACCCAGAAGAGAAACAUUCCAUGGCCUAUCAAGACUUGCAUAGUGAAAUUACUAGCUUGUUUAAAGAUGUAUUUGGCACAUCUGUUUAUGGACAGACUGUAAUUCUUACUGUAAGGUAAGUUUGUUAUGGACAAUUUUGGAGGCAGAUGUGUGUCUGUCUAACUUCCGAGCUUCUCUUGAGG